UACGAAGGGUGCAAGCGUUACUCGGAAUUACUGGGCGUAAAGCGUUCGUAGGCGGUUCGUUAAGUCUGUCGUGAAAGCCCUAGGCUCAACCUGGGAAUUGCGAUGGAUACUGGCGAGCUAGAGUACGGUAGAGGAUGGUGGAAUUCCCGGUGUAGCGGUGAAAUGCGUAGAGAUCGGGAGGAACACCGGUGGCGAAGGCGGGUCUCUGGGCAAGUCCUGACGCUGAGGCGCGAAAGCGUGGGGAGCAAACGGG
rnacentral:rRNA from 1 species